GGUAGUCCACGCCGUAAACGAUGUCGACUUGGAGGUUGUUCCCUUGAGGAGUGGCUUCCGGACCUAACGCGUUAAGUCGACCGCCUGGGGAGUACGGCCGCAAGGUUAAAACUCAAAUGAAUUGACGGGGGCCCGCACAAGCGGUGGAGCAUGUGGUUUAAUUCGAUGCAACGCGAAGAACCUUACCUACUCUUGACAUCCACGGAAUUCGGCAGAGAUGCCUUAGUGCCUUCGGGAACCGUGAGACAGGUGCUGCAUGGCUGUCGUCAGCUCGUGUUGUGAAAUGUUGGGUUAAGUCCCGCAACGAGCGCAACCCUUAUCCUUUGUUGCCAGCGAUUCGGUCGGGAACUCAAAGGAGACUGCCGGUGAUAAACCGGAGGAAGGUAGGGAUGACGUCAAGUCAUCAUGGCCCUUACGAGUAGGGCUACACACGUGCUACAAUGGCGCAUACAAAGAGAAGCGACCUCGCGAGAGCAAGCGGACCUCACAAAGUGCGUCGUAGUCCGGAUCGGAGUCUGCAACUCGACUCCGUGAAGUCGGAAUCGCUAGUAAUCGUGGAUCAGAAUGCCACGGUGAAUACGUUCCCGGGCCUUGUACACACCGCCCAUCACACCAUGGGAGUGGGUUGCAAAAGAAGUAGGUAGCUUAACCUUCGGGAGGGCGCUUACCACUUUGUGAUUCAUGACUGGGGUGAAGUCGUAACAAGGUAACC
rnacentral:rRNA from 1 species